GUUGGGUUAAUUUUAUUCCUAGGCAUUCUGCCUUUUAGGUGUAUAUAAAACUGACCAUGUGUAGAUGAUGUUGAAACAAUAUUUCUGUGAAAAUGUAUGAGAAAGCUCAUUGCUUCUCUUCCUCUUUACCCCUCAUGCCUUGGGUAAGAGGACUUCUUAGCUCCCCAUCUUGAUUUCUGUGACACUAAUGUCAGAGGGCUCUGCACCCUACCCCUCCUCCUUGCCAUCAUCUGUUAACUUCCCACUCACUGUGCAGUUUGGCACAGGGCUACCAGGGUUGUUCUCUCCUUCAAAGCAGCCAUCUUUCUGGGAGACUUGCCGAUGACCUAUCCAACAAAUUUACCUUUCAAACUCAUGAUCUCCUCUGUCCAUUCCAGCCACCCUGCCCCUGCCCCUGACUGGAGCUCCUUCACCUCUGACCAGCAUUGCUUGCUCUCCCUGCUCUGCCCUCCCAACUAUCACAUUAUCCUCUCACUCCACCAAGAACCAGACCCUUCCCAUCUGUCCACUCCAUCCUAGCUUCACCUCCUUCCUCUUGGUGGACCACCACUUCCGCCUCUCUUGUCAACAUCUCCAACUUCCUUGCUUGCUUGUCUCCCUUGUCCAGCAAGGCCCAGACCUGGAUCAGCCUCACCGUAGCCUUAUCCAUGCCUAUCUCAGGGUUCAUGGGAUGGCAAAGAAAGCCCACAACCCCACAGAUUAGUGCCUCCACAAACCCAUGGCCUCCAACCUCAGUAGGCCGUCACUACUGCCCUGCAGUCUCUGUGAGUUGCUAUUAGCUUUCUCUCCUCUUUUCCAUAGCAGCCAUCUUCAACAUUUUCCUCUUUCUCCAAGCUUCCCACUGCAUCCCAUUUCCUCACAUUGAGCAGAUAUCCUUGCCUCCAACAUCACAAGAGAAGUAAUGGCUAUCGGGUAUGAACUCCCUCCAUUUCCUGAGUCCGCCUCCCAAUUACCUACCUACUGACUACUGACUCACUUGCAUCUCCAAAUCCUCCUUCAUUUCUCCCUUCCCAUCUCAGGGGAAAAGUGGGCUGUCCUCCUGCCUGAGGCUCACUCUGAACCCCACCACCUCCCACCCUCUUGUUGAUUUCACUCCAUCCUUCAACCCCUCUCUUUCCUGUAUCCUCAACUGUCUGUUUACUGGCUUUUCCCCAUAAGCAUUUUUAAAUGUCCCAAUCUCUCCCAACUUUAAACAAAAUUGUCUCUCAACUCUACAUCCUUUUUGGUUUUCUCCCUCCUCCCCUUCAAAAACAUUCCCAAGAAUUAUCUACAUCCAUUUCCCAUGCACUUAGCCUUCUACCCAUGCUACUCCACUGAACCUACUUUCUCCAAGGUCGCCAGUGACCUCUUUGUUGUUAAAUUUGGUGUUCACUUGUUCAGACUUUGGCUUACCUGACUAUUCUGCACCAUGCCACCUCACUUCCUCCAUGUGGCUUCCAUGGCACACCAAUCUUUGGUUUUCUUCCUAUCUCUCUGACUGUUCUUCUCACCUUUCCUUCUGGGUUCCUCUUCCUCUACCUGUCCCUUAAAUGUUGGUAUUUUCCAAGGAUUUUGGUCUUCUCUUUCACCCUCUCUGAGGGAUUUCAUCCAUCCCCAUAGCUUCAAUUAUCAUGUAUAUGUCAGUAACUUGAUAACUUAAGACUCUUCCAGAUCAGAUCUCUCAAGAUGACAGGUUCUCAGGCUCUACAUUUUUGGUUUGAAUUAGGUUCAGGGUAAUAGACUCCCUGGUUACUUCUUCUUGGCCAUGAGUUAGUUAUUUGCAUAUAUUAAGGCAUUCUCUCAAGAUAAGCUCCAAAUCACCUACUGGACAUGUCACCUGGAUGUUUCCUACUCACCUCAAACUUACCUCCUCCUCUUCCUGCCUAAACCUGUUUCUUUACCAUUCCACACCUCAGGGGAAAGUACCAUCAUCCAUCCACCUAGUUACCCAAGGCAGACACCCAGGCAUCACCCUCGACUCCAUGCCCUCCGUGCCCUCAGUUUAUCACUCACAAAGUCCUCUGAAUAUUUACCUCUUUACUACAUCUCAGAUGCACCUUCUCUUUUCCAUCUUCAUACACUGUGCUGGAUCACUGCAGCAGCUUCCAACCCACAUCCCAGCCUCGUCUUCUCCUGGCCAUUCUCCAUACAGGCCCUAUACCUUUCCAAAAUGCACAUCUCCUUAAAGAUUUUCAUUAUCUUUAGAAUAAAGUUAAAUUCCUCAACCUGGCAUACUAGGCUCUUCAAAACCCAGCCCUGGUUAUUCACUCCAACCUCACAUCUGAGAUUCAGCAUUCUGGUUUAUCUCCUUGUUACUUAAUUAGAAGACCCAUAGAACUUUACUGAGACCCUUUUCCCUCCUUUAAGAAAGUAGGAAACUAGCUCAAUGUUCCUCAAGAAUGCUUUAAAACUCUAGCUUCUAAGCAUCUAGAAUUCCAUUCUCUUACGGUUCUCUGCUCUAAAGCCACCCCUAAAAAAUAACAAAACAAAUAUAGUGAGCAUAUACCUGACAAAAACCAUACAACUAAUAAGAGAGAGAAUGGGUAUUUGAAUCCAGAUUACCAAGGACCUUACCUCCUGCCUGUUUAUUCACAGUGAAACCAAUUUCUGAUAACCCAAGAUGAAGAACGUGGAAACAGACUACCAU
rnacentral:lncRNA from 1 species